rfam:Cavia porcellus supercont2_36 genomic scaffold, whole genome shotgun sequence.
UGGCGCCCAGCGUGGGGGCUCCUGGCACGGGGGAGUUAACGAGGGAACCGUUCGAGAACGCCAGAGAGAAGUAAAAACAAAUUGAAUCAAGAGUCAAAGCUAAGAGUGAAAGCACAUUGAAUCAAGGACCGAGGCCUGCGCGGACGACCACCCAGUGUGCUGCCUGAGUCACGGUGAGUGAACAGCAACCCCAUUCCCUUUCUCGGACAUGGGUCAAGCAUUGAGCUAAUAUGAAUUGUUCGUGGGAGGCCUCAGCAAGGCAUUAAAGACAAGAGGGCUAAGGGUUAGAACAAAAGAAUUGUUGCAGUAUUUUCAAUUUAUUCCUAAGGUUUGCCCUU